rnacentral:rRNA from 1 species
AGGGGGGCCCUAACCCAUGCAAGUCGAGCGGUAACAGGGGUAGCUUGCUACCCGCUGACGAGCGGCGGACGGGUGAGUAAUGCAUAGGAAUCUGCCCGAUAGUGGGGGAUAACCUGGGGAAACCCAGGCUAAUACCGCAUACGUCCUACGGGAGAAAGGGGGCUCCGGCUCCCGCUAUUGGAUGAGCCUAUGUCGGAUUAGCUAGUUGGUGAGGUAAAGGCUCACCAAGGCGACGAUCCGUAGCUGGUCUGAGAGGAUGAUCAGCCACAUCGGGACUGAGACACGGCCCGAACUCCUACGGGAGGCAGCAGUGGGGAAUAUUGGACAAUGGGCGAAAGCCUGAUCCAGCCAUGCCGCGUGUGUGAAGAAGGCCCUCGGGUUGUAAAGCACUUUCAGCGAGGAAGAACGCCUAGUGGUUAAUACCCAUUAGGAAAGACAUCACUCGCAGAAGAAGCACCGGCUAACUCCGUGCCAGCAGCCGCGGUAAUACGGAGGGUGCAAGCGUUAAUCGGAAUUACUGGGCGUAAAGCGCGCGUAGGUGGCUUGAUAAGCCGGUUGUGAAAGCCCCGGGCUCAACCUGGGAACGGCAUCCGGAACUGUCAAGCUA